rnacentral:rRNA from 1 species
AUGGAGCAAGAUGAGCAGGAGACACUAAUGGAGCUAAAGAGGAGAACCAAGAUUGAGAACUUUAGGAAACAUAAGGAGGCAUCUGAGCAUGUUCAAAUGGUUAAGCAAAAACUACCAGUUCUUCUAACUGAAGAUGACUCUGAUCUGGAUGCAGAUGAGGACUUUGUUAACAGGCUUAAUGAUUGGAGGAGGCAUAGAGAGGACCCACUCCUUCAUUUUGAAGGAGACACUGAUGUGGAUGAAGUGUAUGGGGAAGAUGAGGAAGAGGAGCAAGUGGAGCAGAUGGAGCAUGAGGAGGAGGAGCAGAUGGAGCAACAACAGGAGCCAACAAAGAAGAAGGAAAAAAGAAAAGGGCCAACCAAGAGGUCACAUUCAAGCUUGGAGCAAAGAUUUGAGGAUGUGUGGGUACCAUCAUCAGAUGAGGAGUAUGUAGGUGAUUUGAAGCAGGAAUAUGAUGAUGAAGCUGAGAAUGCACCUUUUAUUCUGCCCAAUGGAAGGAAGAGCAGAGCAUAUAAAGCAAAACCAAGAAAGUGGUAUAGUGAAGAAAGAGAGAACCCAGAGGAGCAGUUCUGUAGAAAUCUUUGUUUUCUUAAUGUGUACCAAUUUAGGAGAGCACUUCAGACAUUUCACAUAAGUCAGAAUAGGAACUAUGACUUCCACAAAAACUGCAAUGAUAGCAUCAUAGUUGUGUGCACUAAUGUGAAAUGUCCUUUCUACAUUGCACCUUCUGUUAUUGCAAAUGAAACUACUUUUUGCAUCAGAAAGGCUAAUCUUCUGCACACAUGCCCAGCAGUAGCAGAGAAUACAAAGGUCACAGGAAAAUGGGUGGCACACCAGUGUGAGGAUAUGCUGAGAAUUGAUAUUGCCACACCAAUCACCAUAAUAAUGCAGAAUUUGAAGAAGAAAUAUGGAGUAGAGAUCUCAACCCAUAUGGCCUAUAGGGCUAGGAAACAAGCAUUGAAGGUUGUCCAAGGAGACCAGAGAGGUCAAUACACUAGGAUUAGAGAUUAUUUGCAGGCUAUUUUAGACACAAACCCAGGAAGUAGAUGUGUUGUGACCACUAAGCAUUUGCCACAACACCCAAGCAAGAACCCAAGGUUCCAUGGCCUGUUCUACUGUCUUAAUGCUUGCAAAGAAGGGUUUUUAAAUGGAUGUAGGCCAUUCAUAGGGGUAGAUGGUUGUUUUAUCAAGCUGUCAACAGGUCAGCAGAUCCUUGCUGCAACGGGAAGGGAUGGAAGCAACAACAUAUACCCUAUAGCAUUUGGAGUUGUUGACAAAGAGGACACAAACAGCUGGACCUGGUUCUUAACACAAUUGAAAGAUGCACUUGGUGGAGAAAGUGGAAAGUUUGGGUAUUAUACUAUCAUUUCUGAUAGGCAGAAGGGCCUUUUAAAUGCAGUAAACCAUGUUUUCCCCAAUUGUCCACAAAGAUUCUGCCUUAGACACAUUUAUCAGAAUUUCCAAACUGCUGGUUUUAGAGGUGAUGAAUUAAAGAAACACAUGGAUGCAGCUAGUUACUCUUAUACUAAGAAUGAACACCUAGCUGCAAUGAAUGAUUUGAAAAGAGAGUGUAAGGAAACUUGGGCAUGGCUUAAUAAAGUACCAGUUGAUACAUGGGCUAGACAUGCAAUGGAUUUUACCUGCAAGACUGACCUAGUUGUGAACAACAUCAGUGAGGUGUUUAACAAAAUGAUCCUAGAUGUUAGAGGGAAGCCAAUAAAGACCAUGCUGGAAGGAAUUAGGACUAAAUUGAUGGUCAAAUUUAACACCAAUAGAACUAAGACAGAGACAGCAAAUUGGAGAUUUGCCCAACAUAUGCAGAGAUGUUAA